UACAGAGGUCCCAAGCGUUGUUCGGAUUCACUGGGCGUAAAGGGUGCGUAGGCGGUUAGGUAAGUCUGAUGUGAAAUCUCUGGGCUCAACCCAGAAACUGCAUUGGAUACUAUCUAGCUAGAGUGCGGUAGAGGGUAGUGGAAUUCCCGGUGUAGCAGUGAAAUGCGUAGAGAUCGGGAGGAACACCAGUGGCGAAGGCGGCUACCUGGACCAGCACUGACACUGAGGCACGAAAGCGUGGGGAGCAAACAGG
rnacentral:rRNA from 1 species